GACGAACGCUGGCGGCGUGCUUAGCACAUGCAAGUCGAACGAUGAAGCCGGAGCUUGCUCUGGUGAAUUAGUGGCGAACGGGUGAGUAACACGUGAGUAACCUGCCCUUGACUCUGGGAUAACUGCGGGAAACUGUAGCUAAUACCGGAUACGACCCUCGGAGGCAUCUCCUGGGGGUGGAAAGAAUUUCGGUCAAGGAUGGACUCGCGGCCUAUCAGCUAGUUGGUGAGGUAAAGGCUCACCAAGGCGACGACGGGUAGCCGGCCUGGGAGGGUGACCGGCCACACUGGGACUGAGACACGGCCCAGACUCCUGCGGGAGGCAGCAGUGGGGAAUAUUGCGCAAUGGGCGAAAGCCUGACGCAGCGACGCCGCGUGAGGGAUGAAGGUCUUCGGAUCGUAAACCUCUUUCAGUAGGGACGAAGCGAAAGUGACGGUACCUAAAGAAGAAGCACCGGCUAACUACGUGCCAGCCGCCGCAGUAA
rnacentral:rRNA from 1 species